AACGGCCCACCAAACCAACGAUGGAUAGGGGUUCUGAGAGGAAGGUCCCCCACAUUGGAACUGAGACACGGUCCAAACUCCUACGGGAGGCAGCAGUGAGGAAUAUUGGUCAAUGGACGAGAGUCUGAACCAGCCAAGUAGCGUGAAGGAUGACUGCCCUAUGGGUUGUAAACUUCUUUUAUACGGGAAUAAAGUUAGCCACGUGUGGCUUUUUGUAUGUACCGUAUGAAUAAGGAUCGGCUAACUCCGUGCCAGCAGCCGCGGUAAUACGGAGGAUCCGAGCGUUAUCCGGAUUUAUUGGGUUUAAAGGGAGCGUAGGCGGGUUGUUAAGUCAGUUGUGAAAGUUUGCGGCUCAACCGUAAAAUUGCAGUUGAUACUGGCGACCUUGAGUGCAACAGAGGUAGGCGGAAUUCGUGGUGUAGCGGUGAAAUGCUUAGAUAUCACGAAGAACUCCGAUUGCGAAGGCAGCUUACUGGAUUGUAACUGACGCUGAUGCUCGAAAGUGUGGGUAUCAAACAGGAUUAGAUACCCUGGUA
rnacentral:rRNA from 1 species